UACGGAGGUGGCUAGCGUUGUUAGGAAUUACUGGGCGUAAAGCGCACGUAGGCGGACUGGAAAGUCAGAGGUGAAAUCCCAGGGCUCAACCUUGGAACUGCCUUUGAAACUCCCGGUCUUGAGGUCGAGAGAGGUGAGUGGAAUUCAGAGUGUAGAGGUGAAAUUAGUAGAUAUUCGGAGGAACACCAGUGGCGAAGGCGGCUCACUGGCUCGAUACUGACGCUGAGGUGAGAAAGCGUGGGGAGCAAACAGG
rnacentral:rRNA from 1 species